ensembl:lncRNA JAKMIP2-AS1 JAKMIP2 antisense RNA 1
GUAUUCCUACUGUGCUCUCUGAGGAUGUGGAUGCUGUUGAUCUGCGGACCACACUUUGAGAAAUACACAGGUGACAGCUGUGGUGGAAAGAACUCCCAUCCAGGAAUCAAAACAUGUCUUCACAUUUUGGCCAUGGAACUUGGGGGUCUUGCUUUGUUGCUCAGGAUGGAGUACAGUGGUGCAAUCUUGUCUCACUGCAGCAUCGACCUCUGGGGCUUAAGCCAUCCUUGCACUUCAGCCUCCCAAGUAGCUGGUACUACAGCUUUGCCCCCUCCAGGGGAUGCAACAACAAGGCGCCAUCUUGGAAGUAGACACCAGGCCCUCACCAGACACCAAACCUGCUGGUGCCUCGAUCUUCAAUUUCCAGCCUCCAGAGUGUGUGAAUCCUGUUUGACAAAGAAUAUCGCGCAGUCAGCAUUUCAGAGUGGCACGAAAGAGCCUGUGUUGUCAAACCACUUUGCCAGAGCUGCCUUCUCCCCACCCUGUUUGUUUGCCUGCCAAAGACUGUUUGAAUAAUCCAGGACCAGCCUUCUGGGGACUCAGAAGUGACCACACAGGCAAAAAGUGAAAAGGGUCAGAAUGCACACAGGCUAGAUACAUAUGGAUGGAAAACAUUAAAAUGCAGAACCAUAAAUGUAGCAUAGAGGCAAAGAACGCAGCUGGAGGGGUGGGUCUUGGUCUUAGCAGCUUAUGACAACUCUAGGCUAUUUGUACAGGGUUCCUCUUCCUCUGGCAUUCUCUCUCUUGCCCAAGCUCAUUCACUGUUGUGGCUGGGUUCAUACUCUGGCCAGAAAAACACCAGAGACAGAAGUACAGAGUUGAACAUUCUAACGCAGUUCGAGAAAGAUCACUGUGGAGAGCCAAGCUGUGUCCUGGGUGCGGCCCAUGCACAGGUGAGCUACAGGAAGGUCAGAUUGAAUUGUCUGCAUCUGCAGAAGAGCUAGCAACCAAAUGCCUACCUGCCCUUUCUGAGCCAGAGUCGCUUCCAGGUCUUCAAUUUUGGCUUUAUACCUUAGCACCUCUGCUUGGAGCUGUUCUUGAGCCUGGUGAAACCAAAAUUCCAGAACUCAGCAAGUAAAAUGGUUAUUCAAUACCUUUCUUGACUAGAACUCAACAAGUAAGAGAGAGAGAGAGGAAAAAAAGAAGAAUUUUCUAUGACAAAAGAAUCUUUCUGAUCUAAAUUCUUGUUUAAAACUCCCUGUAGCAUUCUUUAUUUUCAGGUUAGUAUUCAAACUCGUUAGCUUGGCAUUCGAGAACUCCCAUUAUAUUUCCAAUCUUUUCCUACUACUCAUCAGCCUAGAGCCAAACCCUCACCUGCUGGCAUAAUUCUUGUUUCCUAAAUAUGCCUUGUAACUCUCCACUCUUCUCUUUAUUUGAAUGAUUUCUCUUUCAUGAAAGCCUUGUUCCAUUUUGCCUCCCCAAAUUCUUUUGAUUUUUUUUUUUUUUUUUUUUGAGACAGAGUCUCACUCUGUUGCCCAGGCUGGAAUGCAGUGGCACAAUCUCAGCUUACUGCAACCUCCGCCUCCUGGGUUCAAGCAAUUCUCCCGCUUCAGCCUCCCAAAUAGCUUGGAUUACAGGCACCGGCCACCACGCCCAGCUAAUUUUUGUAUUUUUAGUAGAGAUGGGGUUUCACCGUGUUGGCCUGGCUGGUCUCGAACUCCUGACCUCAGAUGAUCCACCCGUCUCCGCCUCCCAAAGUGCACCCGGCCUUUCCAUUCUUUCAGAGCAAACUUUGUGCCUAAAUUUAAGUCCCUAAAUCAAUUUCUCUCUGUCUUUCUCUUUAUAUAUCAUAUUUUGUGUGUCUGUGUGUGUAAGUAGUUUUGAAUACUAAUCUUGUAUGGAGCAACUUUGUUGUCCUAUGUGAUUUAGCUUAGUAAUUUGUUUCCUGCCUGUAAACCCAUUUUUUUGUUGUUGUUUUACAAUCUGGAUAGGUUUUUUAGUACAAAGUUGAAUAAAAACAGCGAUGAAAGAUAUCCUUAUUCAUUGUGAGGAGAAUAAUUCUUUUGAUUGUUAAAUAUUACAUUUACCUCUAUCAGGUCCAAAAAAUAAUUAAUUUUGCUAAGAUUUAUUUUAACUGUGAAUUGAUGUUGACUGUAACCUAUUUUUUCUUGUACCUAAUUUUAUCUUUUGUUUUCAACGAUGCUUUCAUCUGUAUUAUUUUUUAAUUUCUAGUCUCUUUAAAUUUACUCUGUUGUUCUUUUUCUAACAUCUUUAUUUCUUGUAGAUUAUUUUUCUAAGAAUGGUAAGUUUUCCUGACUUUAAUGGUCAGAGAGAACGCUAAACCUUUAUUUAGGUAGAAGAAUUAAAUGACACAGGGAGGAAUCUCCAAAAAGUAAAAGAAGUCUCCUUUUUUUGGAGGAAUCUCCAAAAAAUAAAAAUAAAAUAAUAUGCUAUUAUUUUAAUUCCCCAAUCCAUGUUGGUAAGAACACUUAACCACAAAUAUUAUAGCACUGGGGCAUAUAUAUGACAGCCUACAGGCACAUUCCUUUGUAAUGAUUGCUUGCCUGUUCUAAAUUGGUGUUUUUUAAAAACCUGCUUAUUUACUUAUAUAUGUGUGUGUGCAUGCUACUGUUGAAAAAUGUAUAACUGCGUUACAUCUACCCUUUCCCACUGAACAAUAGUAGUUCUACAAAACUCCUCAGUGCAUUGUAGACCCUCCAGAAAGAAAGUAGGAUGAAAUCACUGGGUGGUCUCGGUGGUCAUGCUGCCUUUUGGCUCAUGUAAAUUUACCUAGGAGGCAAUUAUAGCCUGGUGAUUAUGACUGUGAAGUCACAAGGCUAGGAAACCUAGGUAAACCUAGGUAAAUAAUUUAACUUCACUAAACUACAUUUAACUUCUACUAAGCUAUUAUUUCCUCUUCUAUAGAAAGAAGAUAAUAAUCAUAUCUAGCUCCUAGGGUUGUUUUAGGAUUAUAUAGAUAAUGUGUGUAAAAUGUUCAACACAAUGCCUGGAACACAGCAAGCACUCAAUAAAUAUUAAGAAUUAGUAUA